AAUUCUUUGAGCUUUCAAUCUCAAUCUUCAUCGAAUUCUCGAAAGUGAGCUCAAGAAAUGAGUCGAGUGAAGAAUUAACAUAAAAUCUCCGAGACUUCAAAGGAGGAACGGAGAGAAACCCAGUAGCCGGAGUUGCAGCGAAGACGAUUGAAGAAGCCAUGGCCAAUCAACUCAGAUAAGAGCAAUCGCUCUGUUAUUCAAAAAAAAAAAGAUGAUGUUUUUAUUUUCUCUUCUUAUAAUAAAGGAGGAAGAAGGAAUAAGUUAAGUACUAAUCUACUAAUGAGCGAUGAAGAAACUUGUUUGUGAUGAUGAUGAAUUGAUGAUGAUGUAUGAUGCUUUCUCUCCUCAUAAACUCUGUGGUGUUAACAACU